rnacentral:rRNA from 1 species
UACGGAGGGGACUAGCGUUGUUCGGAAUUACUGGGCGUAAAGCGCACGUAGGCGGAUUUGUAAGUCAGAGGUGAAAGCCCAGGGCUCAACCUUGGAAUUGCCUUUGAUACUGGCUGUCUUGAGUUCGGGAGAGGUGAGUGGAAUGCCGAGUGUAGAGGUGAAAUUCGUAGAUAUUCGGCGGAACACCAGUGGCGAAGGCGACUCACUGGCCCGAUACUGACGCUGAGGCGCGAAAGCGUGGGGAGCAAACAGG